rnacentral:lncRNA from 1 species
GAAAUAGUAACAACGUAUGGAUUCUCUAGCACCUUCGCAUCUAAACGAAAUUCACGAAUUUUGAAUGUUAGAUGAGCCAUCGUUCUCGAGGCUCUUUUUUACAACAGUAGCAGGCAAAACACGAGUCUAAGAAGACGCUAUGAAGUAACAAUGAAUGUGAUUGAUAAUACGACAAACGAAAAGAAACAGAAGAAGAAAAAAGAAAUGAAAAAUGAGAGAAAAAAAUAAAAAGAGUAAGAAAGGAAGAACAACAUAAAUUUUUAAUUGACUUAACUUUCAACCAAAAACCUGACAGUUGGCAAAAUUUUCUUAAUGCACACAACGAGAUUUGAACUCGAGACCAG